rnacentral:rRNA from 1 species
UACGGGGGGGGCAAGCGUUGUUCGGAACUACUGGGCGUAAAGGGCUCGUAGGUGGCCAACUAAGUCAGACGUGAAAUCCCCAGGCUCAACUUGGGAACUGCGUCUGAUACUGGAUGGCUUGAAUCCGGGAGAGGGAUGCAGAAUUCCAGGUGUAGCGGUGAAAUGCUUAGAUAUCUGGAGGAAUACCGGUGGCGAAGGCGGCAUCCUGGACCGGGAUUGACACUGAGGAGCGAAAGCUAGGGGAGCAAACGGG